GUUACUCUGGACAAGCCGGAACUGCAAAACACCACAAAAAUCAAUCAGAACAGUAUUCCUGCUUCCCACUGGCCAUUCUUGCCUAUGAGGCUAAGUAUCAGGACAUCCAAUUCCUUCACUGACACUGGAGCCUACUUCUUCGGGAUUCUAGCACAUACAGAAACCAGCUGAGACAUCCAGCCUUGUGGGAUGAGCAACUACUGGAUUCUUGGAAUUUUUUGUUCACAGCUAGCCAUUGUUGGAUUAUCUGGAUUGCAGCCAUUCCAAUAAAUCCCAUAUAUAUGUUAUA